rnacentral:rRNA from 1 species
AAUCAACGCUGGCGGCGUGCCUCAGACAUGCAAGUCGAACGCGAAAGUUCCCUUCGGGGGAUAAGUAGAGUGGCGUCCGGGUGAGUAACACGUAGGUAAUCUACCUUUGGGUGGGGAAUAACAACCGGAAACGGUUGCUAAUACCGCAUAAUGCAGCGGCACCACAUGGUGACAGUUGUUAAAAGCGGGGGAUCGCAAGACCUCGCGCCUAAAGAGGAGCCUGCGGCGGAUUAGCUAGUUGGAGGGUAACGGCCUACCAAGGCAACGAUCCGUAGCCGG